GCAGGCUUGGCCGAAUGGUUACGCUGUCCGCUUUGUAAGCGGAUGGUCAUGGGUUCGAUUCCCAUCUGCU
rnacentral:tRNA from 1 species